rnacentral:rRNA from 1 species
GUCGAACGGUAGCAGGUAAGUACUUGUACUUAUGCUGACGAGUGGCGGACGGGUGAGUAAUGCUUGGGGAUCUGGCUUAUGGAGGGGGAUAACGACGGGAAACUGUCGCUAAUACCGCGUAGAAUCGGGAGAUGAAAGUGUGGGACCUUCGGGCCACAUGCCAUAGGAUGAGCCCAAGUGGGAUUAGGUAGUUGGUGGGGUAAUGGCCUACCAAGCCGACGAUCUCUAGCUGGUCUGAGAGGAUGACCAGCCACACCGGGACUGAGACACGGCCCGGACUCCUACGGGAGGCAGCAGUGGGGAAUAUUGCGCAAUGGGGGCAACCCUGACGCAGCCAUGCCGCGUGAAUGAAGAAGGCCUUCGGGUUGUAAAGUUCUUUCGGUGACGAGGAAGGUUGUUGUGUUAAUAGCGCA